rnacentral:rRNA from 1 species
UGCCUCAGUAACGGCGAGUGAAGCGGCAAAAGCUCAAAUUUGAAAUCUGGUACCUUCGGUGCCCGAGUUGUAAUUUGUAGAGGGCGACUUUGGGGCGGCUCCUUGUCUAUGUUCCUUGGAACAGGACGUCAUAGAGGGUGAGAAUCCCGUGUGGCGAGGAGUGCGGUUCCGUGUAAAGCGCUCUCGAAGAGUCGAGUUGUUUGGGAAUGCAGCUCUAAGUGGGUGGUAAAUUCCAUCUAAAGCUAAAUAUUGGCGAGAGACCGAUAGCGAACAAGUACAGUGAUGGAAAGAUGAAAAGAACUUUGAAAAGAGAGUGAAAAAGUACGUGAAAUUGUUGAAAGGGAAGGGCAUUUGAUCAGACAUGGUGUUUUGCGCCCCCCGCUCCUUGUGGGUGGGGGACUCUCGCAGCUCACUGGGCCAGCAUCAGUUU